AACACACCAGGCAGAAAGCGCGAUCCAGGAAGAGUUCAGCCACACUCAGUCAACAUGCUGCACCCCAUCAUGAUCGGCAUCGUAACCGCCAACACCUCCAUCACCAUCAUCUUCUGGAACUUCAUCUUGUCUCAGGUCUUCUGCAAGAAGAUCGAGGACAAACCGCACGACGAGGUGGUCCCGGUCUAGUGAGUUAGCACGAGGCGAAGCAUUUUUUAAAACAAACAUUUAAAAAGUCAUGGACUGGCUGGCAGGUAGCACCAUUUUGUUUGGGGAGUAGUUUAUUCCUCCAUCCUCUGCAUCCAUCAUCUCUGUUAAAGAUGGUCUCCACCCAGACAGCAGCCCCAGCCUGAGCUCCCGUCCUCCCUGAUGGGAAGGAGGGAUUGAUGUUCCCACCUAGAAGAAGAGAAGCUUGAGGGAUGAAUGAAUAACCCCCCAAAUCUGGAACAUGGACUGAAGUAAAAAAGAGCUGUUCUGGGUUUCGCUCAGCACAGCUCAGUAAUCCUGCUUUGUGAAAUACCCCCCAGGUGUAACAACAUAUCAUAUAAUAUUGAGGUUAUAAUACGAAGAUAAUUUCCCAUAGAAUUUCAUCUUCCUGUGGAUGAUUCUUCAAUAGAAACUGCUGUUAAGUAGAACUGAAUAUGCUAGCUUAUGGCUGUGCAGUACACAUUUUCUGCACUAUAAGCGUUAAUCAAACAUGCUGCGUUGCUUCACUGUGCAGUAGAGGUAGAUUAAUCUGUACUUGUAAUUAAGCUGACCAAGUGGUUUACCAGUGCUGCAAUAAAGAAAGGAGUGGGAUUUAUCCCUUUCCAUUUUAUCUGA